CUUCUUCUUCUUCUUCUUCUUCUUCUUCUUCUUCUUCCUCUUCCUCUUCCUCUUCCUUUCUUCUUCCUCUUCUUCUGUGCUGGUAAUUGAACUCAGGGCCUUAGAUAUGCCAGGCAAACACUCUGCUAUUGAGCUAUAGGAGCAAUAUUCCCAGCUCCAAAUCUGACUUUUGUGACCAAGAGAUGUGUGACAUUCAACGAGCUUCUUAUAUUUCCUGGGUCUUAUUUUUUCCCCAUCUGUAAAGUGGAAUAAGAGCAGGCUCAUCCUUGUUGGAUUGUUGUAACUGUUAAGCAGGAUGGUUCAUGGAGAGCUUCUGGAACAACACUUGGUACUCAUUAGUGUGCUUCAAAUAUGUCAGUUUGUUAAGUGAAAAUCCUGUUUAGUGAUGGACAUUCUAGUUCUUAAAGAUGUUGAAUAUAAGGGAGCUCCUCAUUUCUCUGCCUUCAAGGUCCUUUGUCUUGAUAUUCUACCUCAUUUUUAUUCUCCACCUGUUGAAAGACCGUCCCAGUUUCAGUCAUUUCCAUAGGUAGAAGUUUGAAGAGCCUGUACUGUACUUAAGGACUUUGGUAUUUGGAAAUGAGAGGUUAAGUUACAGGAAGAAAAGGGAGGAGUUCAAGGUCCCCUUCAGUCAUAGUUUUAAUGCCUGGGCAUGGACAGGCCCAUCCUACUCACCCUCCUCAACCCCCACAUCACCAUUGCUCUCCCUUCUGUGUGUUCCUUUUGUUUCAGGACACCCAGAUGCUGAGGACAUUGCAUUAUCUUCUGCCUUCUAAUUCUGCCUGCCUAAGAUUUCAGCUCACUGUGGUCUCAGUCCUGCCUUAGCCACCUCCUCCAGGGAGUGCAUAACAUUGAUUUAGAAGAAAUGGAGACAUGGCUGGAGGAAGACUAAAAUAUCAUCUGUUGCCACUGGCCCCCAAGUGCUUUAAUUUUCUCCAAGAGCCCCACAGAGGCUUUAUGGGUUGUCAAAAGGCACAGAUUAAUCAACUAACAUUUAUUGGUGGAAGUAUUAAGGCAACUCCACGUAGUUAAAAGGGAGGUUUAUUUUGUGGGGUAACUUACAAGUAAAGGGAUAGGUUACAGGGUCCAGGAGAGGUGAAGUGCUGUCCAGUGGUGUUCUCUGGAGAACUCUGCUAGGUCUACCUCCAGCAUCCAGGAUCCAGGAACCAAGAGCACCGGCACAUCAGGAUCUCGGGUCUUAAGGGCUCCUCUCUCGGCCCCACCUCCUAGGCGUGACAGUUACCGGGAGCCUCAAUGUGGGUAGUACUUCCAGGUCAAAGCUGGAACAGCUACCCACUACAAACAUUUCCUGCAGGCAAUUGACCAAGUGCUCUUUACCUGUGUAUCCAAUCCAACCUCCCACCUAGCUCUGCAGUUGGAACCUCACCUCGCCUUGAAGUGACAAGUUGACUCCCUCCAUUUAAGAACAGAGCCUAGCCCAAUUAUGAUUCUGACAUGUGUCCUACUGGGCAGCAGGGCCUAUGCUAAGUGUUUUAUGAAUGUUCCUUAUGCUUCCCACACUAAUUCCUUUAAAUAGUACUGCUUGUUUAGAGAUGAUCAAUCAAAGUGUAUGGAGGUCCAGAGCCUUGUCCAGGACUGAGUGGGUAAAGUUGCUCACCACCAAGCCUGAGGACCUAAGUUCAAUCCCUGAGAUCCACAUGGCAAAAGGAGAGACCUGACUCCUUCAAGUUAUCCUCUGACCUCCACAUGCAUGCGGUUGCCCAUGUGCCCCUAUACCUCUAAAAAUAAAUUUGUGUGUCACUACCUCCCCUCCUCACAAUUGUGUGCAUACCCAGAGAGCUCAGGGGUACAUGGCAGGCAGCUAUAGAGACAGAGAGGAGGAGGGGGUCUCAGGCAGGCCAGGUGGACUAGCCGCAGGCCAUCUUAUACACUAUAAAGAUUUGUCACUCUUAUUGGUUUAAUAAAACACUGAUUGGCCAGUAGCCAGGCAGCAACUGUAGGCAGGGUGACCAGACUAAGAGAAGGCUGGGAAGAGGAAAGGCAGAGAUGGAAUCACCAGCCAGAUGCAGAGGAAGUAAGAUAAGAAUGUUGAACUGAGGAAAGGUACCAAGCCACAUGGCUAAACAUUGAUAAGAAUUAUGGGUUAAUUUAAGUGUAAGAGCUAGUUAGUUAUAAGCCUAAGAAAUAGACCAAACAGUUUAUAAUUAAUAUAAGCCUCUCUGUGUUUAUUUGGGACUGAACAGCUAUGGGACCAGGUGAGACAGAAACUUCUUUCUACAUAAAUUAUUUAUUUUUUAAUUGUGAAAAGCAAACAAAACCUUGUUUGGUGUCUUAGUUAGGGUUUCUAUUGCUGUAAAGAGAAACCAUGACUACAGCAACUCUUACAAAUAAAAAACAUUUAAUUGGGGCUGCUCACUUACAGUUCAGAACUUGAGUCCAUUAUUGCCAUGGCAGAAUAUGGCAGCAUGCAGGCAGACAUGGUGCUGUAGCUGAGAGUCCUACAUCUUGAUAGGCAUGCAACAGGAAGUGGUCUGAGGCACUGGACAGUAUCUUAAGCAUAUAUGAGACCUGAAAGCCCACCUCCAGAAAGAUACACUUCCUCUAACAAGGCCACACCUCCUAAUAGUGCUACUCCCUUUGGGGGUCAUUUUCUUUCAAACCAUCAUAUUGCCGUGCCAUUUUUUUUCUUAUGGAAUAAAAUGCCUUAUUCUGUGCUAUUCCAUGUUGGAAAUAUGUGAUGUAACUAAUUUUUGUUGUUAUUUUGUGGGUGCUCACAGCAGAGAUUGCCUUGGGUCUUAGAUGAGUUUUGAACUUGUUUUUUUUUCCUCCUGUAAUUUUUUUUAAUUAUUAAAUUUUUAAAAUUUAUUUUACAUACCAACCACAGUUUCCCCUCCCUCCUCUCCUCCCAUUCCUUCUGUCCACCUCCUUCCUACCCCUCCCAUCCACUCCUCAGAAAGGGUAAGGCCUCCCAUGGGAGUCAACAAAACAUGGCAUAUCAAGUUGAGAAAGGACCAAUCUUUCCCCUAUCCCCUAACCCCCCCACCCCGAAAUUGGGUUUUAAAAGAUGUUGGAAUUGUUAAAGCACAUGAAGACUUCUGAAGUUCAGCUCAAUGUUUAUUUUUGUUUGUUUGUUUUGUUGUUUUGCAUUAUAAGAUGGUCAUUGGGUUAUGGGAACAAAAAGUAAAAGAUUAUGGCUUAACAAUGA